CCUACGUGCGGCAGCAGUGGGGAAUAUUGGACAAUGGGCGAAAGCCUGAUCCAGCCAUGCCGCGUGUGUGAAGAAGGCCUUCGGGUUGUAAAGCACUUUCAGUGGGGAAGAAAGCCUUGGGGCUAAUACCCUCGAGGAAGGACAUCACCCACAGAAGAAGCACCGGCUAACUCCGUGCCAGCAGCCGCGGUAAUACGGAGGGUGCGAGCGUUAAUCGGAAUUACUGGGCGUAAAGCGCGCGUAGGCGGUCUGAUAAGCCGGUUGUGAAAGCCCCGGGCUCAACCUGGGAACGGCAUCCGGAACUGUCAGGCUAGAGUGCAGGAGAGGAAGGUAGAAUUCCCGGUGUAGCGGUGAAAUGCGUAGAGAUCGGGAGGAAUACCAGUGGCGAAGGCGGCCUUCUGGACUGACACUGACGCUGAGGUGCGAAAGCGUGGGUAGCAAACAGGAUUAGAUACCCUGGUAUC
rnacentral:rRNA from 1 species